rnacentral:rRNA from 1 species
UACGUAGGUGGCAAGCGUUGUCCGGAUUUACUGGGCGUAAGGAGCGCGCAGGCGGUCGAUUUAGUCGCGUGUGAAAGCCCCCGGCUCAACUGGGGAGGGUCACGCGAUACUGAUCGACUCGAAGGCAGGAGAGGGUAGUGGAAUUCCCGGUGUAGUGGUGAAAUGCGUAGAUAUCGGGAGGAACACCAGUGGCGAAGGCGACUACCUGGCCUGUUCUUGACGCUGAGGCGCGAAAGUUAGGGGAGCAAACGGG